rnacentral:rRNA from 1 species
UACGUAGGGUGCAAGCGUUAAUCGGAAUUACUGGGCGUAAAGCGUGCGCAGGCGGUUUUGUAAGUCUGUCGUGAAAGCCCCGGGCUUAACCUGGGAAUUGCGAUGGAGACUGCAAGGCUUGAAUCUGGCAGAGGGGGGUAGAAUUCCACGUGUAGCAGUGAAAUGCGUAGAGAUGUGGAGGAACACCGAUGGCGAAGGCAGCCCCCUGGGUCAAGAUUGACGCGCAUGCACGAAAGCGUGGGGAGCAAACAGG